GGCACCUUUCUCCCUUGGGCUGUGGCUGGGGGGUUGGCGGGGGCGGUCCCUGUUCUUCUCAGCUAAGGCUGGAGGCCAAGAUCAGCCCUUGAGGACUGUCAUCAGAACUGCCUUGUUUUCCUGCCUCAGACGUGA